CCUGCCCACACUGCUCCUGCGAGCGGCAGGCCCGGGAAGGAAGAGUUAACCAGAAAUGGAGCGGCACCGCUCCCGGGCAGGCAGCGUCGCUGCAGAACAGAGCAGCGUUCGUGCUAAGGCAAGUCAUUUCCCGAAACACUGCAGACACACGGCCUCAGGCAGCCUAAAACCUUUGGAGACCAAAAUGGCUCGCAGGGGUUGGAAGUAAUAAGGCAGCUCUGCGGUGUGCGGUGUGGCUGGUUUACUGAAGUGUGCCUGGAACUCGCUUUUCAGCAGAUCCCUUUGCCAUCCCAGGAACCUCAGCAGAAUUAGCCACGAAAGAACAUGACCUAUUUCCCUAUUGGAAAGUCUGUCAGGAUCCUUGGAGACGGCUUUCAAAACUGGGGACUGGGGGUCGUCUCCAUUGUGUCUCGAGAGAAACAGGAGAGGAGCUGGUUUUUAACAGAAUGUUAUACAUCCAAUCUGCUAUGCUUAAUGCAGCCUGGAUAUAAUUAUUACUACUCUCUGUUUACGACAGCAGCCGAAUCAGCUUCCAUCCAACAAAUGGCCCAGCAGCAGUGGGCCAGCCGCCGCCGAAAUGACAUCUGUUAAUUCUUUGUCAAAUACCCCCUCGGUCUCCCUUUCUCCCAAACAGCUCUGUGGUUAAUUACGACUUGGGCGUCUGACACAGUCUUUCGAGUGGAGAGACAAGCUUAAGGGCAGGGAGAAAUUUGGCUUCAAGAAAUUCCCUUCUUUCUCUCUCUUAAAAAAAAAAAAGCCGUAGCAAAUUGUUUAAAAUAAACAUUCAUUCGUGGCACCAGAA